GAGGGCUCCUUUCGGAUUUGGCAGAUGAUGGAUUAGUCGAGAUCGAAGACUCCGGGGAUGAGACGAGCGUCCGGCUCCGAGGGUAACACCCGUUCGUACUCUGCUCACAGAUUUACCCGGCAGUGAUAGUGCUCUUGAUACGGAGAAUCGAGGAGAAAGCCUCGCGCUUUAGCGCGGGGAUGAAUCCGACACUACCCGUCA
rnacentral:misc_RNA from 1 species